rnacentral:ncRNA from 1 species
GUGAAUUUCGUGCCGUUGAGAAAAAAAGGAGAGCGUUGGUGAACGCCGGCGCGGUCCGGCGGAGGUUGGAUCCCGUCCCGUCGGGGCGGGCGCACUACCGGCCGAUCUUCUCCGCCCUGUCGGCGAGGUCGAGCGAGAGCGUGCAAGUCGGGACCCGAAAGAUGGUGAACUAUGCCUGAGGAGGUUGAAGCCAGAGGAAACUCUGGUGGAGGACCGUAGCGAUUCUGACG